rnacentral:lncRNA from 1 species
GUUCCUCGUCUCAGUCCUUGGGGCCACCACCCAACACCCAGGGCAGACCUCUAGGGUCUACACCACAAAGCCAGCCCUGUCUCAUGCCUCCCUCUCCUCCCGAUUGCAAGCCGUUGCAGCGGCCGUUUGGUUUAUACCUGGGACAUCACGACCCCCUGCUUCCCACCUUCUAAUGCUGCAUCCUCCUGCAUCAGGACGUUUAAACACAUCACAGGUAAACGGUCGCCAAGUACAAGCUUAUAAAAGUAAGAGAGUUCACCCCCUCCGGUCUCCUGUGGCACCGUCUGGCGUCGGUGACCGGCCAUCUCGCGAAGGGGUGCGUCUCGGCCUCCAGCCUGGCAGGGCUGCAGCGGGCUCUCGGGACGCAUGUCCGGCCGCCCCUCACCGCCCGCGCCCGUCCCUGAGUGUGCUGUCUACACUCGCCAUCUGUGCCUUCCACUCGCUACUCGCUUCGCCGGGUCUGCUCAGAAAGGCCCCCAGAGUCUCAGCAAGGGUGGCGUGGACUCCAAACGACUCUAGGACAAAGGGGACUGUGCCAGCCAAGGACGUCACCCAGCAGGCGGGGCCCGUGCGGAAGAUUCGGCCAUAAGGCAAGCAUAACGAGAGUGGCUUUUCUUUGUACGCCUGAGCGAUGUCGAUGCAUUGUCUUUUUAAGAUGUUUAUUUAUUUAUUUUGAGAGAGCGAGAGAGAGGAAGCAUCCCAAGCAGGCUCCGAGCUGUCAGCGCAGAGCCCGAUGCGGGGCUGGAACCCACGAACUGUGAGAUCACGACCGGAGCCGAAAUCCAGGGUCAGAUGCUCAACCCACUGAGCCACCCAGGCGCCCCUUUAGUGCAUUUUCAAUCACAUGAACUUGUCAUUUUUCGGCCAAUUUUAUUUUUAGUAGGGUUUUGGUGGGUUUUAUCUACAGUGAAGCACACAUUCGCUGUGGCCUCUCUGCUGUUAGGUUUCUGCCUCUUCCAGGGCCGAGCGGAUAGACAGGCUGCAGGCUUUGUGCUGGGGCAGUGGGGGAGGGAGGGGCAGGGGAGGGGGAGCCGGGAGGCUGGGCGACCGUGUCCGGAGCCGGCUGUAAGGAGGCCGACCACCCCUGCCGUCUCCCCUUCUCUGCCACGAAUCAGCACCUGCAGGGACCUGCCACGACCCACAGGAGGACCAGCCACGGACACCGAGAGGGAAAGGGGCAAGGUCAGGCCACUCCCGUGGCUGAGAGGGAGAUCCAGUCGGCCCGAAGCCUAUACAAAAAACCCGAUCCGUUUGAACCUCUCUCUACAACCAGAAGCCCCAGCAAAUUGGAUGAAUCAGUCAUCAACUAUUGAUCUAUUCAUAUCAUGCCCCCCCCCCAAGCCGGUACAAAUAUGA